UCUGCUUAGUAGUGUUAUUGGUUGAGGUUUUCCCACCAAAAUAUUUCACUGGCCAUAGUCGACCAGCCAGGAUCAUUUAAUUUAGUCAAAUAUAAUAGCUGUGUCGUGAUAGUCAACCAUACGCGGCACAUUUUCAACGCACAGACGAAUACAUGUGAAUUCGCUAAGUUACCCAUUGAUUCACACCGAAGGAUAUUUACAGGUGCAGCCAUUUGACGGCACACUACGGUUUUUGCGUAAGCCUCACCAGAGCUUACAAACAGCAACGGGUGCAAUUUGUUUGUACACUACUUUAUGUACGGACGUAGAUAUACAUCUACGCAAGCCUUCGAAUGGUACUUAACAAUACAUGGUAUACCGGUAUGGAUAAUAAAAGUGAUUUUGAUGAUCGUAAUAGGGAUAUGCAACGGCCUGAAAUUGCGGCAGCUCAGGCGAAAGGCAUUGGCCUAUUGAAGGAUUCGACACCAAGUUUCGUCAGGACGGUCGUUUCUGAAUGCAUCCGUAUCGUCUGCGGCACGCGGCGUACUGCGGUACGGAAAACGCGGAAUUCGACAGAGAGGAUCGUUGGAAGUCAACCCUCACUGAUCGGGUAAUGAAAAUGGAAUAUUUUAAAAAAGUCAAUAUCAGAAAAGGGACGACACUGAAACAUUCAAAAGCUUCAGUUAAACAAAAAUGUGUCGACAGUUAAACAAAAAUAAACGCUUGUUGAAGUUUGUGAAUCAAUGACAAACGGUUGUCAGCAGCGUGUUCACUAAAGCAGUAAUGGUUCUAAUUCUAUAAUUCCGCGGUAGGAAUAAUAGUUACGUGGAGUAUUCUGCAAUUAAGCAUUCAUGAUUGUUAAUAAAAACUGCAGUUGACAUCAUUCAAACUGUACAUACAUUUUUAAGACAUCUAUAUACAUAUAGACAUUAGUACCCCAUAGGGUUCUAAUAUUUUGCGCUCAUCGAUAUGUAAUUUGUGUAAACCGUAGACCACACAGUUCAACUUUAAAAGAAAAUUAAUUUUUUUUCUUCAUUCAUACAUUGAUCACCUAAUAUGUACGGAAUGUUUAUUGUUCAUAAUAUGGUAGCGAAAUAAGGUUGGAUUUAGUUGUUUGAUUGAAAUAUUAUAUUAGUAAUAGUUAUCCUUUUUGUGAAACCCGAUUCGUGAUAGCCAAAGUCUAAUCUAAACUUAUGUCGAAUAAUCAUUAUCUAUAAUAUAACUCUCAAUAAGCACCUGAUACACCAACUAAAUCUUCUUAUCAAAAUACGUUCAGCAUAUACAUAUAUAUGCUGAACCUGAAUAUAUCAUAUAUAUAUAUACAUAUAUAAAUUGUUGUUUUAUCAAAGUACAGGGUAGUAAAAUGCAGUAAUGUAAAAAAACUAAGUUAAUUUAUUUAAUUAUUAACUGAACACGACAAACUUAUUUCUCUCAGCUUACUAUAACAAUAUGCCAGGAUUCCGCAUAUUCCAUUUUAGAUAAAUACCAUGAUUUUGUGGGGACACAAUUUAAGUGUUCUCUACUGUCGUUCAGCAUGAUUCUGCAUAACCUGAUUUUUAAUAAUACUGAUUUUGCCCCUACUGUGAAAAUGCUACAAUUGCAACACGUAGCCAAAAUAACUUUGUCAGGUCUCAUAUAGUACAGCUGUCAUUCAAAAUCUACGCUUUACUGAGUGAGCUAAAAAAUCGGAGCACGGACCCAGCGACGGUGUACUACGUCGCAAAAUUGUCAGCCGCGACAUAGUAACGACAGCUAAUGUAAGCGAUUCUUUAAUAAAUAUAAUGAAAAUUCCAGCAAAAAAAGGCGCGCCUCUAUAAUUCUUGUUUUAUAUAUACGUAAAAAAAAUUGAAAUGGAAUAUAUUCUCGAAGCAGACAAUUAGGAUCCAAUUUUGUACCCACGUUUCUUUCCUCAAACGAUUGCCCCUACACAACAAACGCGCGGGCGGUUCGGUACCUGUCAUCUUCAUUUUCUGCAAAUCAGAGGGCAAACGGUGCAGUCACCAACAAGCAGUGAAAAUAGUACUCAGCAUCACUAUCAAGUGUUAUCAUCAUAAGGGAAGUAGCGACUGGCUGUAUUUGCACCACUGCAUUGCACCGUAUAAACGAGCUGCGGGCCAAAAUUAUCACAGAUCACGGAGCUGAUAACUAUGCUUUAUAUAACGCACAAUUAUCAGCUCCGUGAUUCUUAUAUCCGGUGAGCGUUAGAGUAACCAAUGACAAUAAUGUACCCACCGGUGAAGCAAGAACAACCCCACCAAGAAAGGUCAACUUAGUUCUCUCGAAAUAUACGUGACGGCCGGUACGUGCACUCUGAUAGAUGCGUGUGCAUAUGGCCUGUUUGUUGUAUAUUUGGGAGAAAGAGUUGAUUGUGUUAGCUAACAUUCGAAACUCAAGAAAGCAGCAACUAUGCUAAGCAAUGCUGCAUGCUAGAGAUACAUUGAUAUACAUUCGAUCUGGACAUCGAGACGCGACAAAGAAGGCUCACUUAAGCUCACUUAAGCUACGGACAUGUGUGAAAGGGUCUAGAUUAGCGAAUGGGCAUAAACGCACCGAGGCACCAGUUGAAGCACUAGCUGACGGAAGUACCAAAUUGAAAGAACAAUUUGGAGGCUUUCUAGUUUUGAAUUCGCUCAUUUCCCGUUUAGGCUAGACCAUUUAAUAUACGAUGGGAUAGCUUUCGUUAUUUCCUACCGGGUGACUGUAUUGCAUAUACGACAAGGAACUUAAUAUAAAAUCACGGGGAAAUUACGAACAACGAAAAUCAUGGAACCAUCACAUGGCCAGGUCUACCAGACUGAGCUAAACAUAGACAUACAGACGAGCAGAUACUGAUGACUAGUUUACUCAUUUUGCAUUAAUUGUUGAGGGAAGUUUUAAUAAUCAGUGUCUGCUAAUCGGUGCGGAGCGUUCAGCUCGUGUAGUUUUCGAAUUCCUAGAACAGAUGAAGUAUGACAACCUCCACGUAAAAGCAGUGAAGGCAGUAGUGACUUUAGCAAUUGCCUUAGGCAUUGGAAUCACACAUUGCGCUCUCAUUUUCAAUUCGAGCUUCUAUCAAUCAAUUACUUAAUUAAUUAAUUUCUGUAUUUUCGUAAGUUGCUGUAGUCGUCAUGAUACAAUGUAAAUUUAGUCAUAUAACCAACCUGCUUUUAAACAAUAAAUCGAUAUUAAGGUAGUAUUUCUAAGCACAUGGUUGUUCAUAAGGUUCGUGACAACGUUGGCAUGCUCAGGCUUUUCAUACUCUUUUUUAAUACCUAUGCUGGAUCAGUGUCUGAAAUAGGGAAGAUCGGCUUGCAGAAAACGCAUGCAUCGAGCUCAAAUCAGUUUUAACUAAAUCCAUCGAUGGAGUUAGUUUCGAAUCAAUUUCUGCUUCGCCUUUCCUAGACCAUAAACAAACUAUCACCCCUCUCCUUAUAGUGAUAUUAUAGUUGAAUAUCAUUGUCCCUGUCUACGUAUAAAUAUGUUUAAAGAAAUUUACCGUCCUUUCUUGUCUAUAAGUUUUUUGCUUGCCAACACAAAAUAUCCAGGCAAUACACGUGUUUAUAUGCGUAUUUUCAAGGGAAGCAUCUGGGGGUUCAUAGUGUGCACGUUAUCCAUUGUUCAAGGGGGCUUGCAUACAGGACGACUGCUGCGCACUAAUUUCUAAUUGUCAAUGGGAAAAACAUAUAGUGGUGGAAUUCCAUUUCUUUUUUUAGUAUUUUUUUUACGAAAGUCUAUAUUGAGCGGAUCCCAGCAUCGUCGUA